UGGGAGAUCGUCUAAUGGUAGGACAGCGGAUUCUGACUCCGCCAAUCUAGGUUCGAGCCCUAGUCUCCCAGCCA
rnacentral:tRNA from 1 species